rnacentral:rRNA from 1 species
GAUGAACGCUGGCGGCGUGCCUAAUACAUGCAAGUCGAGCGAACGGAUGAGGAGCUUGCUCCUUUGAUGUUAGCGGCGGACGGGUGAGUAACACGUGGAUAACCUACCUAUAAGACUGGGAUAACUUCGGGAAACCGGAGCUAAUACCGGAUAAUAUUUUGAACCGCAUGGUUCAAAAGUAAAAGAUGGUUUUGCUGUCACUUAUAGAUGGAUCCGCGCCGUAUUAGCUAGUUGGUAAGGUAACGGCUUACCAAGGCAACGAUGCAUAGCCGACCUGAGAGGGUGAUCGGCCACACUGGAACUGAGACACGGUCCAGACUCCUACGGGAGGCAGCAGUAGGGAAUCUUCCGCAAUGGGCGAAAGCCUGACGGAGCAACGCCGCGUGAGUGAUGAAGGUUUUCGGCUCGUAAAACUCUGUUAUUAGGGAAGAACAUAUGUGUAAGUAACUGUGCACAUCUUGACGGUACCUAAUCAGAAAGCCACGGCUAACUACGUG